GAUGAACGCUGGCGGCGUGCCUAAUACAUGCAAGUCGAGCGAACAGACGAGGAGCUUGCUCCUCUGACGUUAGCGGCGGACGGGUGAGUAACACGUGGAUAACCUACCUAUAAGACUGGGAUAACUUCGGGAAACCGGAGCUAAUACCGGAUAAUAUAUUGAACCGCAUGGUUCAAUAGUGAAAGACGGUUUUGCUGUCACUUAUAGCUGGAUCCGCGCCGCAUUAGCUAGUUGGUAAGGUAACGGCUUACCAAGGCAACGAUGCGUAGCCGACCUGAGAGGGUGAUCGGCCACACUGGAACUGAGACACGGUCCAGACUCCUACGGGAGGCAGCAGUAGGGAAUCUUCCGCAAUGGGCGAAAGCCUGACGGAGCAACGCCGCGUGAGUGAUGAAGGUCUUCGGAUCGUAAAACUCCGUUAUUAGGGAAGAACAAAUGUGUAAGUAACUAUGCACGUCUUGACGGUACCUAAUCAGAAAGCCACGGCUAACUACGUG
rnacentral:rRNA from 1 species